GAUGAACGCUGGCGGCGUGCUUAACACAUGCAAGUCGAACGGGAAUUAUUUUAUUGCAACUUCGGUCGAUUUAAUUUAAUUCUAGUGGCGGACGGGUGAGUAACGCGUGGGUAACCUGCCUUAUACAGGGGGAUAACAGUCAGAAAUGGCUGCUAAUACCGCAUAAGCGCACAGAGCUGCAUGGCUCAGUGUGAAAAACUCCGGUGGUAUAAGAUGGACCCGCGUUGGAUUAGCUUGUUGGCAGGGUAACGGCCUACCAAGGCGACGAUCCAUAGCCGGCCUGAGAGGGUGAACGGCCACAUUGGGACUGAGACACGGCCCAGACUCCUACGGGAGGCAGCAGUGGGGAAUAUUGCACAAUGGGGGAAACCCUGAUGCAGCGACGCCGCGUGAAGGAAGAAGUAUCUCGGUAUGUAAACUUCUAUCAGCAGGGAAGAUAGUGACGGUACCUGACGAAGAAGCCCCGGCUAACUACGUG
rnacentral:rRNA from 1 species